GAGUUUGAUCCUGGCUCAGAUUGAACGCUGGCGGCAUGCCUUACACAUGCAAGUCGAACGGCAGCACGGGAGCAAUCCUGGUGGCGAGUGGCGAACGGGUGAGUAAUAUAUCGGAACGUGCCCAGUAGUGGGGGAUAGCCCGGCGAAAGCCGGAUUAAUACCGCAUACGACCUGAGGGUGAAAGCGGGGGAUCGCAAGACCUCGCGCUAUUGGAGCGGCCGAUAUCAGAUUAGCUAGUUGGUGGGGUAAAGGCCUACCAAGGCGACGAUCUGUAGCUGGUCUGAGAGGACGACCAGCCACACUGGGACUGAGACACGGCCCAGACUCCUACGGGAGGCAGCAGUGGGGAAUUUUGGACAAUGGGCGCAAGCCUGAUCCAGCCAUGCCGCGUGCGGGAAGAAGGCCUCGG
rnacentral:rRNA from 1 species